GAUCAUGCUCAGGACGAACGCUGGCGGCGUGCCUAAUACAUGCAAGUAGAACGCUGAAGAGAGGAGCUUGCUCUUCUUGGAUGAGUUGCGAACGGGUGAGUAACGCGUAGGUAACCUGCCUUGUAGCGGGGGAUAACUAUUGGAAACGAUAGCUAAUACCGCAUAACAAUGGAUGACCCAUGUCAUUUAUUUGAAAGGGGCAAAUGCUCCACUACAAGAUGGACCUGCGUUG
rnacentral:rRNA from 1 species